AUUGAACGCUGGCGGCAGGCUUAACACAUGCAAGUCGAGCGGAGCGAGGGUGCUUGCACCUUAGCUUAGCGGCGGACGGGUGAGUAAUGCUUAGGAAUCUGCCUAUUAGUGGGGGACAACAUUCCGAAAGGGAUGCUAAUACCGCAUACGCCCUACGGGGGAAAGCAGGGGAUCUUCGGACCUUGCGCUAAUAGAUGAGCCUAAGUCGGAUUAGCUAGUGGGUGGGGUAAAGGCCUACCAAGGCGACGAUCUGUAGCGGGUCUGAGAGGAUGAUCCACCACACUGCGACUGAGACUCGGCCCAGACUCCGACGGGAGGCAGCAGUGGGGAAUAUUGGACAAUGGGCGGAAGCCUGAUCCAGCCAUGCCGCGUGUGUGAAGAAGGCCUUUUGGUUGUAAAGCACUUUAAGCGAGGAGGAGGCUACUAGUAUUAAUACUACUGGAUAGUGGACGUUACUCGCAGAAUAAGCACCGGCUAACUCUGUGCCAGCCGCCGCCGUAACAC
rnacentral:rRNA from 1 species